GGGGGAGUGGCGGAAUUGGCAGACGGGCAUGACUUAGGAUCAUGUCUCUCAGGAGGUGAGGGUUCAAGUCCCUCCUUCCCCA
rnacentral:tRNA from 1 species